GUGCUCGCCUCGGCACCACAUACACUAAAAUUGGAACAGUACAGAGACUAGCAUGGCCCUGCACGAGGAUAACCCACAAAUUUGUGCAGCAUUCCAUAUUUUU
ensembl:snRNA U6 U6 spliceosomal RNA